UACGCCGGGUGGCCGUUACGGCGGCCGCUAACGGCGCCGCUGCGCGAGCCGCCCUCACGUGACCCUCCACGCGACUACAAGGGGGCACCGCCUGACGGCAGCGGCCAUCUUUGACCCUGGCGGUCGACUUCUGGGCGGCCUCGCUACGGGGCGACCUGACUACARUUUCUAGUCUGUCUAAUCCAAGCUGAGCCGCUAAGCUAUCCUGUGAGAAAGGCGAAGCCGCUCCAUCCUGGCGAGCUAAGCCGGAGCUCAGUUUAAAGAUGACGACCUUUUCCCGCCCCCAAAUAGCCUCUGGCUCCCAGAGCCUGGGCCAGCUGUUGCCCAGGUUUCACAGGGCGCAUGCGCCCUGUGGACACUGGGCAGCUUCACCGCCAUGAUGAAACGGGGAAAACUGCCUCUUGCGCCUGCGCGCUGAAGAACUUGGGCAACCACRUCGCCAUGAUGAAAGGGGGUGGGGAUCGCCGCCUGCACCUGCGCAGUGAAGCGGGGGCCAAGUGGAGGCGCGGGAGGAGGGGGUUGUGCGGAGUGGGGUUACUCGUCUGCUCUCCUCGUGGUGGGCAGGUGCCCUGGUCCUUUGUACUUGCCUUGGGAUCGACCCUAGAAAGGUGUACUGGUACUUUUCCGUGGGUCUGUAAUCUAGAGCACCAUUUUUCUACGGAAGAAAAGGACCCCAAAUCAGUCUUGUGCAUUGUAGAGUAAUAGUGAUGCCUGUGUUCCUAAAGGAUACCCCGAUUCUAGAAGUCUGUCUACACRGAGCAUGGUUUGUAUAAAUUUAUGCUGGAACUUGCUUCAUUGAAUCACUUUCAGCAACUGACUUAACCUUCAAGUGUUUUGGUAUGUUUAAAGUCCUGCUUUCUGAAUAAGAAUGUACAWUUUUUUCAGAACAAUUCUGCCAGGUGAAGGUGAGUAAGUGAAAAUACUGGCUCAGAUGAAAGGUUCAUCUAUUCCAGUGUCCUGUCUUCAACUAUGAUCCAGAACAGGUGUCAAGGGAAAAGUUUAAGGCAGGGCAGUUUUUUUGUAGUGUCUACACAUUUAACCUCAGUAUCAUACCCUACUAUGACAUUCAAUAAAUCUAUGUGGGGAUAACA
rnacentral:lncRNA from 1 species